UGGGGAAUAUUGCACAAUGGGCGCAAGCCUGAUGCAGCCAUGCCGCGUGUGUGAAGAAGGCCUUCGGGUUGUAAAGCACUUUCAGCGAGGAGGAAGGGUAGUGUGUUAAUAGCACAUUGCAUUGACGUUACUCGCAGAAGAAGCACCGGCUAACUCCGUGCCAGCAGCCGCGGUAAUACGGAGGGUGCAAGCGUUAAUCGGAAUUACUGGGCGUAAAGCGCACGCAGGCGGUUUGUUAAGUCAGAUGUGAAAUCCCCGCGCUUAACGUGGGAACUGCAUUUGAAACUGGCAAGCUAGAGUCUUGUAGAGGGGGGUAGAAUUCCAGGUGUAGCGGUGAAAUGCGUAGAGAUCUGGAGGAAUACCGGUGGCGAAGGCGGCCCCCUGGACAAAGACUGACGCUCAGGUGCGAAAGCGUGGGGAGCAAACA
rnacentral:rRNA from 2 species